rnacentral:rRNA from 1 species
UACGGAGGGGGCUAGCGUUGUUCGGAAUUACUGGGCGUAAAGCGCACGUAGGCGGCUUUGCAAGUUAGAGGUGAAAGCCCGGGGCUCAACUCCGGAAUUGCCUUUAAGACUGCAUCGCUUGAAUCCGGGAGAGGUGAGUGGAAUUCCGAGUGUAGAGGUGAAAUUCGUAGAUAUUCGGAAGAACACCAGUGGCGAAGGCGGCUCACUGGACCGGUAUUGACGCUGAGGUGCGAAAGCGUGGGGAGCAAACAGG